CAGAAAUUUAUUUUAUCUUUUCUUAACAAUUUAAUUAUCAACAAUUUAUUUACAUAAAAUUUUAAUUCAUUCUGAAUUUUAACACUCUAUAAAAAACACCCUGGUUAUUAAAAUGUCCCUGUCUCACUUCCUGCCAUUAAUCAGUCAGUAACAAGGAAUCCGGUUAUGUUUGACCAGGACGUCCAGGUUAAACUAACCACACUAUGUUAAGGGAUAAAUAACCAGGGGCUGGGGUCAUUUAACCAAGGUGUUUUUUAGAGUGAUGGAAUAUAAAAUAGAAAUGUUAGAAAUAUACAGGUACAUAAAUCUGGUUACCUUAGGCGUGAGAGGUUACUCCACGGUCCACGCUCGAGAUAUACCGGUAUCGCAUAUCUGCUUUAACGUGUUUUUCUCCUGCGAAUGUGGAAAAACCUGUGACACCCGGGUAAAUUCGGGUGAUCCAGUGGCGGACACUAAGGUUGGGGGGGGGGGAGGCACCCCCCCCCCCCAAUAAUUUUGAAAUACAUUGAAUUAUUGAAUGAUAGCUGAUUAACUGUGUAACCAAGUUGUGACAAUGAUUUUACAAUCACGAAAGCCUUGACAAGCUAUAAUACACGCUUUCGUAAAGUACGUCACUUUGGCUAUAGAGCCUCGCUUUCGUGAUUGAGACGUGGCCUUUAACUGAUGUCUGAUACAUGAAAACGAGGCUCUAUUGCCAAAGUGACGUACUUUCCGGAAGGGUGUAAUUCAGCAAACUUCCGUGAUAUUUAAUUACAUCGAAAAUUACUUUUAAAGAACUGACACUCGCAAGAACGAGAUUGCGAGAGGAUUAGAAUUAGCCAUUUCCCAAAAUCCUGGGUCUAGUCCCUUGUUGGAGGGACAAGAAAUAUGGCAGGACACAUUUAAAUUAAAUGUUUAAUGUAAAAAGGAGAUAUUUCAUUUUUGGUGGUGUAAAAAGUUGAUAUUUGAUUGUAGAUACUUCUACUCUUUCACAUAUUUGACGCCUGUCUCCAUAUAUUUUGUCCCUCCAAACGAUCCCAGAAUGUAUUGUGAUCUAUUUUAGGAAAAGGCUAGUAUGCAUGUUGGCAACCUACAUUUUACACAUUAUUUCGCGUCCGCCACUGUCGUGAACCUUCAAAAUAACAAUUCACACAAAACAAUUUAACAUAAUUCAACCAUUACUUGUAUAUGAUCAAGGCAGUUUGUACGAAGCCCGUUUAGUUUCAAAUGGUCGGGGCAGGGGCGGCGGAACAGGGGGGGGGGCUAGGGGGGCUAAAGCCCCCCCAGAAGUGUUUUGGAAAAUUUGAAUUUUUGGAAAAAAAAUUUAGGUAUAAGGGGACAAAUUUGCAAUAUUUUGUUUAAAAAAAGUGUAUUUCCGAAAAUUUUUUUUUGAUAUAAGUCCGAAAAUUUUUUUUCGUCCCUUUUUUGUGGCUAGCCCGUUCGCGGGCUAGCCACUAUGAUACGGGAUGAGCGGUGGUGGUCGGUCAACGAUGUCUGUCCGGAUUGUCGUGAAAUUAUCGUGAGCGGAAGUGAGGCCGACAGUAUGGCGAUCGUUUGUUUCGUGGUUUCGGUUAUCAUCGGAAAUUUGGCGGAAGUGAUGAGGCCCGACAGUUUGACGAUCGGUUAUUUCGGUUUUCAUCGGAAAUUUUUGAACUUCAUGCCUGAUAAACAUUUCAUGCAAACAAAUAUUUUCGUUUUGAGGUCUUUUCGACAGCUGCUGUUUAAAAAAAUACGAAAAUUUUGCGAACGAUAAGAGAAGUUCUACAAAAGGUAAGUUAGGAGAAAUCAAGGAGAUUUUGAUCACGCUUGAUAUAAAGCUUUAUAUAGUGAGUUUAUAAUCCUGUGGUUUAUAAUCAAACGUUCUUGCACAGAUCUUGAAUUUUUAUCCAUUAUGUGGGUAAAUUUAUAAGAAGCAAGCCCAUUGUUUACAUAUUUUACAACGAUACUAAAACCGCCCUAUCCACUUGCAGGUAUAAAACUACAAUUAACACAGAAAACAGGCGGGACUAUUUUAUGAGUUUAUGCUAAUAUAGUCUAUUGUAGUCACUAGCCUGGAAGCUCAGUCUGUUUACAUACAGUUGAAGGAUCUUCUAGAUGGAAGUAAUUGAGUGAAAAUGUAUUAUUUUACAUUCAUUAGACCUAUUAAACCAGGAAAUGCAACUGUAGGUGCAGUUUAUUUUUGGAUAUCUAGUCCAGAUGUAAAUAACAUAUAUCUGAUCUAGGAUCAGCAGGGACGUAGAGACACGGGCGUGUGUGUGUGUGUGUGUGUGUGUGUGUGUGGGGGGGGGGUUGUAAACCCCACAACUGUGAAACUCAGGUAAAACUCAUGUACAUUGUAAAUUUUGACAUUUUCAGGUAAACUUUGUGUAACAAAGUCGUUAUUUUUGUAAAAUGAUGACCAUUUGACAUCCGGCACCCCACCCCAAACUUCAGAUGCUUUGCUACGUCUCUGAACAUUAGUGCAAUCACCAUACAACACUGACCCUUGCAGUUACGAGGGUAUAUAUGAAGAAGAAAACCCACAGCCAUGUGAUGAGGUCAUAUCGACACGUUUCAACAUUUCUUUUCAGCACUUAAUAACAGCAGUGUCAAUUGAGUAGCAUAUUCAUACUCUUAUUGCCACAGUUAAAUGUUGUUUAACCCAAUGAGCUGCAAUGUGCCCCAGUGCACCCUACUUAUUUCUUUUACUUGUCUAACGCCAGACGAUUUUACCCGUCAAUGGGGAAGCUCUGCUGCUUAAUGGGUUAAAUUUAUACCUGCAUCAUUUACAAUGUGUCAGUCUUGUGAGCUGCCAGUAAAUAUUUGGUUCUUAAUUUUAAACAAUUUGCAGAUGAAAGCACAAUUCAAAAUCAUAGUGAUGCAUGGCAUCUACAGUACUUCAAACAACUAAGUGAACACAUAUUCUGAUCAAUUUGCUGAUAAUAUGGUGACUGGUGAUAAUAUUGGAUAAUAUAGGAAGAUCAGGAUAUUUGCACAAGUGUCAGGGCAAUACAAGUUAGUGGUGUCGGUGAUGACAUAAUUGAUUUGAUGAGUUCAUUAUAAAUUCCGAUGCUGUUAGAUCUUACAAUAAAUAAAAAUGUUUAAAAAUAUAAUAUAAUAUAUUAUUAAAUACAUUAUGUUAAAUGAAGAACUUUGAAUUUAAAGGUUUUAUGAAAUCUGCAAUGCCAGCAAUGCCAGCAAGAAAAGCUAAUAACUUGUAAACCAGACAACAGAAUAUAUCUGUAACAAGAAACCGGUGUAAUGAAAUCUUAGUGAAUUACAUAUUAGUGCAAUUUUGAAAAACAAAAUAAAAUUGACAUUAGUUGCUGUAUGUAUUAUAUCAUUAUUAAAGCAAAACCAUGUUGCUUUUAAAUCAAGUGAUUCUAACCAUUUGUUGGCAUUGUAAGAAAGAUACUGCAUCUGUUUUAUUUUGACCAUUGUUCUAUUGUAAUGAUUAAUUUUGUAUCAAAAUGAAUGUUUGUGAUGAAUGUUCAUGACGAUGUGAAGUCCGGCUGUAUUCGACCAGGCUGAGUAGGCUAGCCACAUGUACGCAGUGCGUACCUAUUUUUUUGUAUAUUGUACCCCUAAAGUGGUACACUGACCGAAAUAUUUUUGGCGACGGGGAGGUCGCCGAAAAAAUUUAGCCCCCCCCAGAACGAAAUCUGUUCCGCCGCCGCUGGGUCGGGGACCGGUCAUUAUUUAUGGCAGGGGUGGGGGCCGAAGAGAAAAUGGUGGGGUAACUGAAAAAUAAUAGUUGCUAUAGGUGGGGUGGCCAAAAAAUCCUUGCAUGCAGAGGUGGGGUAAAAAAAAAUAACCUUGCUUUAAUCACACACAAUACAAUAUAUACUACUAUCAGAAUUUAAUAUGUGAUUAUUCUAAUUUUUUAAUAAAAUAUUAUUGCUUUCCAAAAUGUUGACAGAAACACCCCCCUCAACCCACCCGUAAAGGGUCAUUUUUAUAUUCAUUUACACACAAAAUCUCCAAAGACUCCAAUUACCAGACAAAAUAUAUACUGCCUAUAUAUAGGGGCUGUUUAUAUGGUGCAACUGCAAGCCAUCCCCAGGUACCCAAGCUGGCCCAGUUUUGGCAAGAUCUUGCCUUUGUUGUUAUUUCUUACUAAAGUUCACCUUGUGUAUAUAUGGGUAAAGAGCGGGCCCGGCUAUAGCUAAGCGAGAUCCCGCCCCUUUAGCCCGAGAUCUUGCUUCAGGAAAAGUGACCUUAAGUCUGUAGCCCCUAACCCCGGGCAUCCAGCCUCACCCCCAUAUAAACAUCCUCUUAUUACAUAUCUCAAAAAGUAUAUGUACUGUCUAUUAAAUUUUCAGGAUUUAAUUUUUGGGCAUCUACACUUGAUACUGCAUAACUAAUAUUUAUAUCCAGUAUGUGCUUGUAAACCAUGUGGACAGUUCAGGUAGCAAAUCAUGAAAUAUGCCCCAUGCCCCUUGUGAAUCUGGAGAAUCAUUCCAAUGGCUAGUUCACAAUAUGUUCAUCUCUAGCCUUUGGCAACUAGCUGUUUUUCUUUACUAGCAGAUCAUGUAUACAUGGAUAAAAUAAGAGAAAUCUAUUUACCCGUUUUACAGAUUAAUUUAAUUGUUUAUAUAAUCAUACUUGGAAUUCGGAUGGAUAUCUUUAUCUUCACACUGUAUAACAGCAACUUUUUCUCAUUAAUUUACACUAACUUUCUAAAUUCAGAUAUUCUCACAUGGGACAAAUACUUUAGUAUCGUU